rnacentral:rRNA from 1 species
ACUCUAAGCGGUGGAUCACUCGGCUCAUGGGUCGAUGAAGAACGCAGCAAACUGUGCGUCAUCGUGUGAACUGCAGGACACAUGAACAUCGACAUUUUGAACGCAUAUCGCAGUCCAUGCUGUUAUGUACUUUAAUUAAUUUUAUAGUGCUGCUUGGACUACAUAUGGUUGAGGGUUGUAAGACUAUGCUAAUUAAGUUGCUUAUAAAUUUUUAUAAGCAUAUGGUAUAUUAUUGGAUAAAUAUAAUAAUUUUUAUUCAUAAUAUUAAAAAAUAAAUGAAAAACAUUAUCUCACAUUUGAAUGUGAAAAACGAAGAGAAAUAUUUUCUUUUUCAAUCAAAUAAUACUGAGAAAUGUCUAGCAUAAAAAAUUGAAAUAUUUUUCAUCUAGAAUUGUCUCUUAUUAAUGAUUCGGAAAUAGAAAAAUCUUGGUUAUGUUAUUAUUCUUCGUUGGUUCGUUAAAAAUGGAUAAAUAAAAACUUUGCAUACAAGAAUUAAUAAAAAUGUUAUAACGAAUUUAAUUAAAUGUUUUAUCAUUAUAUAUAAAGAAUUUAUGGCAAGAUAAAGUUAUAUACAACCUCAACUCAUAUGGGACUACCCCCUGAAUUUAAGCAUAUUAAUUAGGGGAGGAAAAGAAACUAACAAGGAUUUUCUUAGUAGCGGCGAGCGAAAAGAAAACAGUUCAGCACUAAGUCACUUUGUCUAUAUGGCAAAUGUGAGAUGCAGUGUAUGGAGCGUCAAUAUUCUAGUAUGAGAAAUUAACGAUUUAAGUCCUUCUUAAAUGAGGCCAUUUACCCAUAGAGGGUGCCAGGCCCGUAUAACGUUAAUGAUUACUAGAUGAUGUUUCCAAAGAGUCGUGUUGCUUGAUAGUGCAGCACUAAGUGGGUGGUAAACUCCAUCUAAAACUAAAUAUAACCAUGAGACCGAUAGUAAACAAGUACCGUGAGGGAAAGUUGAAAAGAACUCUGAAUAGAGAGUUAAACAGUACGUGAAACUGCUUAGAGGUUAAGCCCGAUGAACCUGAAUAUCCGUUAUGGAAAAUUCAUCAUUAAAAUUGUAAUAUUUAAAUAAUAUUAUGAGAAUAGUGUGCAUUUUUUCCAUAUAAGGACAUUGUAAUCUAUUAGCAUAUACCAAAUUUAUCAUAAAAUAUAACUUAUAGUUUAUUCCAAUUAAAUUGCUUGCAUUUUAACACAGAAUAAAUGUUAUUAAUUUGAUAAAGUGCUGAUAGAUUUAUAUGAUUACAGUGCGUUAAUUUUUCGGAAUUAUAUAAUGGCAUAAUUAUCAUUGAUUUUUGUGUUUAUUAUAUGCACUUGUAUGAUUAACAAUGCGAAAGAUUCAGGAUACCUUCGGGACCCGUCUUGAAACACGGACCAAGGAGUCUAACAUAUGUGCAAGUUAUUGGGAUAUAAACCUAAUAGCGUAAUUAACUUGACUAAUAAUGGGAUUAGUUUUUUAGCUAUUUAUAGCUAAUUAACACAAUCCCGGGGCGUUCUAUAUAGUUAUGUAUAAUGUAUAUUUAUAUUAUUUAUGCCUCUAACUGGAACGUACCUUGAGCAUAUAUGCUGUGACCCGAAAGAUGGUGAACUAUACUUGAUCAGGUUGAAGUCAGGGGAAACCCUGAUGGAAGACCGAAACAGUUCUGACGUGCAAAUCGAUUGUCAGAAUUGAGUAUAGGGGCGAAAGACCAAUCGAACCAUCUAGUAGCUGGUUCCUUCCGAAGUUUCCCUCAGGAUAGCUGGUGCAUUUUAAUAUUAUAUAAAAUAAUCUUAUCUGGUAAAGCGAAUGAUUAGAGGCCUUAGGGUCGAAACGAUCUUAACCUAUUCUCAAACUUUAAAUGGGUAAGAACCUUAACUUUCUUGAUAUGAAGUUCAAGGUUAUGAUAUAAUGUGCCCAGUGGGCCACUUUUGGUAAGCAGAACUGGCGCUGUGGGAUGAACCAAACGUAAUGUUACGGUGCCCAAAUUAACAACUCAUGCAGAUACCAUGAAAGGCGUUGGUUGCUUAAAACAGCAGGACGGUGAUCAUGGAAGUCGAAAUCCGCUAAGGAGUGUGUAACAACUCACCUGCCGAAGCAACUAGCCCUUAAAAUGGAUGGCGCUUAAGUUGUAUACCUAUACAUUACCGCUAAAGUAGAUGAUUUAUAUUACUUGUGAUAUAAAUUUUGAAACUUUAGUGAGUAGGAAGGUACAAUGGUAUGCGUAGAAGUGUUUGGCGUAAGCCUGCAUGGAGCUGCCAUUGGUACAGAUCUUGGUGGUAGUAGCAAAUAAUCGAAUGAGACCUUGGAGGACUGAAGUGGAGAAGGGUUUCGUGUGAACAGUGGUUGAUCACGAGUUAGUCGGUCCUAAGUUCAAGGCGAAAGCCGAAAAUUUUCAAGUAAAACAAAAAUGCCUAACUAUAUAAACAAAGCGAAUUAUAAUACACUUGAAUAAUUUUGAACGAAAGGGAAUACGGUUCCAAUUCCGUAACCUGUUGAGUAUCCGUUUGUUAUUAAAUAUGGGCCUCGUGCUCAUCCUGGCAACAGGAACGACCAUAAAGAAGCCGUCGAGAGAUAUCGGAAGAGUUUUCUUUUCUGUUUUAUAGCCGUACUACCAUGGAAGUCUUUCGCAGAGAGAUAUGGUAGAUGGGCUAGAAGAGCAUG